GGCCACCUUCGGGGGGCUUUACCAUGGGCGGGGAGACCCGUCGAACACACAAACGGAAGUCAGAAA
rfam:Rhodobacteraceae bacterium HIMB11 HIMB11_contig13.2, whole genome shotgun sequence.